rnacentral:rRNA from 1 species
UACGGGGGGGGGCAAGCGUUGUUCGGAAUUACUGGGCGUAAAGGGUUCGUAGGUGGCCCGCUAAGUCACACGUGAAAUCCCUCAGCUUAACUGGGGAACUGCGUGUGAGACUGGCAGGCUUGAGUGCAGGAGAGGAACGCGGAAUUCCAGGUGUAGCGGUGAAAUGCGUAGAUAUCUGGAGGAACACCGGUGGCGAAGGCGGCGUUCUGGACUGUAUCUGACACUGCAGAACGAAAGCCAGGGGAGCAAACGGG